GUGCCAGCAGCCGCGGUAAUACGGAGGGGGUUAGCGUUGUUCGGAAUUACUGGGCGUAAAGCGCGCGUAGGCGGCCAUAUAAGUCCGGGGUGAAAUCCCGGGGCUCAACCCCGGAACUGCCCUUGAUACUGGGUGUCUUGAGUUCGAGAGAGGUGAGUGGAAUUCCGAGUGUAGAGGUGAAAUGCGUAGAUAUUCGGAGGAACACCAGUGGCGAAGGCGGCUCACUGGCUCGAUACUGACGCUGAGGUGCGAAAGUGUGGGGAGCAAACAGGAUUAGAAACCCCGGUAGUCC
rnacentral:rRNA from 1 species